AAUUCCAUUUUCACUGGCUUUUAAGAAAUAGAGCUUUGUUUUAGUUUGCAGUUAAUGUUUUCUUAUUAUUUUCAGAGAUGUGAAAUACAAUUCCUUUGUUUAUGAAAGGUAAGGGUUUCAGUGUUGCAAUCUAGGAAAAACAUCGUAGUGUAACAGUGAAAUUUGUCUUUCUUUUUUUUUCCUUCUCUUCUUUUUUUCUUUCUUCUUCUUUUUUGGCAUAUGGAUAGGAGGGAAGCGAUCACACUCCCUCCCCAUAUGCUUCGACUUUCCUGUCUGUUUUGCCAUUAGUAUUCCAUUAAGAUUAUGAUUAAUGGAAGCGCUCCUGAAUUUCAAACAUCUUGAAAUCUAGCCAAUCCUUGUUCUUGGGAGGCUAAAUUGAAAACAAAUAACAAUAAAAAUAAGGUGAUGCAGGUUUUUGAGUCUUUAGAGAAGCCAUCAUUGUGAUCUCUGUACCACUGCUGCGGAAAAAGAGGACAACAUUUUUCAUUUCUGGCACUGUUACUGACAACAGGCAACUGAAAGCCAGCCUGAAUUUCUGGGAGUAGCAUUAGGAUGCAGGACUCCUGCUGAGCGCACCAGUUCCUGGCUCUGCACAGCUGCCUUCUCAGCUGGGGGUUUGAAAUCAGCACUGUGAGAAAAGACAGAAAUGACCAUGAUGCAUGUUCCUGUCAUUGAGAAAAGCGAUCUGUGAUUGGAGGAGGGACACUGUUCUUUCCUCUCCAGAAUGCUGUGUGUUUUGUGGUCCUAUCCAUCUUGUGAUGUCUUGUCCUGGGAAUUCUUUAAGUAAGGCUGUCUUUCUUCUAGAGGGAUUCUAGAAAAGUCCUGAAAUGUGGUUUCAGAUUAUUUGGACGUGGGGUCCUUGAAUUUACCCUCUGGAUCAUAGCUGCACAGCUUGGGAGUCUUCUGCAUUUUUUGACUGAGAAAUCUGACAGGCCACUUUAGCCAGGUGAUCGAUUGGAGCCAUAAAAAGAUAUUACUGCCUAACAGGUGUGACUAUACAGAUGUCUAGAACAGUUGGCGAAGUCUGUAGGCCUGUUACUUUGUCACGGUAACUGGUUUCUACUGCCACUAAAGACCAUGGUUUUAAAGACUCACAUCUAAAGCAACAGCUUUUUAAUAGUAUUUGACAUAAAUUGAAACAUCAACAUGAAUAAUAACAUUUAGUUAUAAUUUAGUUAUUGAGUAGAUCUUGCAAUGCCUGCUAUAUGUAAUGUGUUCUCAGUGUAGACGUACAGAACAACUUCAUACACAAAUUAAUAAAUGAAGAAAUAAAGUAAUGUAAAUCAGCGACUGAUCUCAAAAUGCUUCUAGACUGUUUUGCAGCUAAUACCUAAUAAAUUCUACUCAGAUGCCAUUGAAAGUCAGACAGGAAUUGUGAAGUAGAGAAGCAAGAUGAAUGCACUGGGCUUUGCAUAAGAGCUGGUUCUAAAUAUCCUGUAAUACUUGAAUGGUUUCACACUGUCUUGAUAUGUUUGAUGCUAUAGUAUACGAAGUUAUACUCAAAUAUUUAUUUCAAGAAAAGUGAUACUAUGAUGGAGCUUCCGGAAGAACAUGGCGGAUAGACAGCAGCAAGCUAUGGAGGCUCUCUGAGAUACCCUGCUUAGAAUACAGGAAUGCUGCGGUAUGAGGAGUCCUAAGCAAGGGGAGAUAUAACCUGUUGACACACGAAUGAACUAAGCUAAGAGAAACCAACUGGAAAUGCAAUCCUGGUGCUAUAACAGGAACAGAUAAAAUCUCAGCGUGGAAACUAGAACCCGCGCCACUGGCAGCCGCGAUCUGAAUUUCCUGCUGAUGCUGCGUCCAAAUCUGCAGGGCAGGUAGAGAGACACGCGAAAGCUCUGAGAGCGGGAAUCUGUGAAUGGAGUUGCCCUACAUCAACUUGUGAUUUGUGGGAGUUUUUAGGCCUUUGCAACCCCCUUUUCUGUGGCUUCUGUCAUCUUGAGCUGAGCACCCAUGGGCCUUCCAGCUCUCCUACUGACCAUGAACCAUGGUUCCAGCGCCUGUUCAAAGUCUCAGGCCUCGGAACUGUGCCAGUCUCUGGUAUGAGUCUGCACUGGAAGGCUGAAGAAACUGGGACUGACCUCAAGGGCAAGGACAGCAAAAGAUGCACCCGCGCAAGUCCACUGGAGCCCUUCCAAACUGAGCACCCUUCUGUUCUUCGCCUUUUAUCCCAUCCGGGGUACCAGCCUGCCGGAUGCUGCUCACAUCACAUCCGGAGCGGGUGUUUCUCCCUGGGUUUGUUGGCCUACAUGCUAAUCAUCUCUGAAAACCCUACAGACACACUCAGACUUGAGUUUUAUUAAUCUGGUAGAUGUUUUCUAAUCCAGCCCAGGUGAUGUAGCAUAAUUAGUGGUCACAUGAAAAUAUCCUUCUGUUACUGUCAUAAUAGAUUCUUUUCACUUGUGCCUAAUAUUUUAAAUUUUCUAUUCUAUAAGAAAUCUUUACAAUAAUUUAAAAAAACUUGUUGAUAUUUGAAUAAGAUUUAUUGCAUUAGCUUUCCAUAUGUAGUUAUAAAAACAUUGGUUUAUGUUAAGUGAUAUUAAUUUAAAAAAAUCUAUGGAAGAUUCCUUGUCUUACAAAGAUAAACAUUUGAUCCAGAACCUUCUAUUGAAAAGUUCAUCUCUGCAUUUCUGUGUCUUCUUUGUUAUAAAUGGAGCAAUCAUGUGUGGGUGGGUUUGUUUCUGUGUUUUCUCUAUGCGUGUGUGGCACUGGGGAAUUGAACCUAGUGUCUUUGCAUUAAUCUACAUCUCUAGUACCUCUUUAUUUUUUAUUUUGAGACAACAUUUUUCUAAGUCUUCUAAGAGCUCAAACUGGGAUAGAAUUUGCCAGUAAUUUGCCUCAGCCUUCUGAAAUGUGUUUACAACCAUAGGCCAUCAUGUAUAUAUACAUAUAUAUAUUGGAUCUGGGAUAUAUAUUUGUACCUGGGAUACAAUUGUGCUUGCCAGGCAGGCACUUGUGCUGCUGAGCUAAACCCCCAGCCCUAGAUAUUUUACUAAUACAAUACUUACUUUAUCUUUUUAAAUCUAUUAUGAGACUUUCUAUAUAGUAAAGUAAAUUUUCUAAAUUUACAUUUCUUUUUUAACAUUUUUGAGGUGAUUUGGGCUUUUUUGUAUUUUCAGAUAAAAUUUGAGUUCAAAUUUCCAGUUUCUCCAGUGAAACUUGCUGAUAUAUUUAUGUGGAUUGCUUUUAUUAUUAAGAUUUAUCUUUGAUGUUUAAUAUAUUUACAAUCUAUGAGAAUUUUACAUUCUUCAUUUAUUUACUUGGUGGUGCCUCAGAUCAAGUAGGACCUGAUAAUUCUUCAAAUAAAUAAUUCAGGAUCCAUUUGACAGAUAUAUAGAUACAAAUUAACUUUGUCUUUGAUUUCACACUGCACAUUAAAAUCUACAUUUAGAGGCCUGAAUGUACAAGGUAAAAAAUUACACUACAUAAAAUAAUGCCUUCAAUUCUGUUUAUGACCUUAUGAUGCAAAAUAUAUAGUUUAAAAAUGUUUCUUAAAACGAGUCACUGGAUGCACUUAACAAAAAGGAAAAUAUUUAAUAAGAGCUUGGUUCCUCUACGGUUUAAGUUUUUUGGUUAUUUAAGCAGUUACAUUUGUUUAUCUUCCAUUGCCCCCUAUCCAAAGCUGUCAUGUUACUCUGUAUCAUUAGCUCAGAGAAAAAAAAAAACAUUCAAAAUUUCAAGCAUAGUUUCUAUUAAAUGCACUUUUUUUUGUACAAUCUUAAAGUGAAAAAAAUGUUAAAUUAAACCUUUGCAAGUGUGAAGUUGUAACAGCAAUGUUACGUGUGUAGGAAUUAGAAAAAACUACUCAAAAUAUAUUGUACAUAAAGUUGUCUUUCCCAAAAUAUAUGGAAAACUACAAGUGUUUUAAAAAUAUAAUACAACAACUUGCUCGAAGUCUUUCAUACUUGUUACAUAAAAGAAUAUCAAAUACAUGAAAAGUUUUCAUCUGCAAAAAGUGAGAUAAAGCAAUAAAUGAUAUUCACUAUAAUUUUAAAAUUAAAGAAUGUUUAUAUUAAGCACUGACAAAAUAUGGGGUGACACAAUAUCUCUCCUACACAAAUAUAUUCAGGAAAAUUUAUUUAUUUUGGCUAAGUCUCAUAGGAAAAUUGUUCAUUAUUACCUCCUAGAGUUGAAAAAUAUACAAAAUCCCUAUGGACUAACAUGCUCUUUCAAAAGUAUUUAUCUCAUAGAUACCUAUAUAAUUGUGAAUGGGGAUAAAAGAAUUAAUUUCUUUAGUCACAGAAUAAAAACAACUGUAAUGUACUUUAGUGUUAGAAGAUGUUAAACAUGUAUGUUAAUACAGAGCAGUCUUGCCUAGUGAUGUGAACAUGUUCUCUUAGAACUUUUAGAUGUAAGAACACUUAAGAAUGUAGGAAAUAACACGUUGAGAAAACAUAAUUGCAAAACAAAAGAAUAUUGUUUGUGUGAUUUGGCAUGUGCUGGGUACAAAAGAAGCCAAAACUACAUUUUGGCCUUAGACAUUAAGGCAGUCAUGAGAUUUAAUGCCAAGGCCAGAGGAAAGCUUCAUGAUGCUGCCGCCAUCUUGCUUCUUGAUUUGGGCUGUGACUACACCUGUGGGCACAUUCAAUUUCAACUAAAUUUGAUGCGCAAAUUGUGAGAUUGUGUUAGUAUGUUUGAAUGAUGCACAUGAAAGUAUAUAAUUGUGUAUAUAUUUUAUAAAACAAUCUGCAGAACAUAAUUCUUAUGUUUUUCAUGUAAUUAUUUAAAUGUGCUGAUACCACACUGAGCAAAAUAUAAUUUUAUUCUCCUAGAAUACAUUUUUACUGUAUUGUGUAUGAUUUCAUAAAUAUCUAGUAGAAGUCUAAGUUGAUAGAUGGAAAAGAUACAGACACUCCAUGAUAGUGACUGCCUCUGGGGCAAAGAGAAAAAGAUGGUGUUUGUGAGGGAAAUAAAAGGGUUAGUCCACCAUAGAUCAAAUAGCUCAUGCUGCAAAAUGAUGAUAUAGUUGAUUUAUAGAUUUAUUAGUUCAUGAUGGUUGGUACCUGCUUGUCUUCAUGUCCUCCUAAAUGUUCUGCCAAUGAGAGAGACUUUCAUAUAAAACAAUUCAAAAAUACACUUUUUCUAGGCAUUAAGAGUCUAUGUGCAGUACAGAAUAAAUCAAAACAAAAACAUAAAACUAAAAAUUUUAAACGGGACUUUAUUGGUUGAAGUUCUCUACAGGAACAGAAUAAAUAGAAAAAUACAUAAUUGCACAAAAAGAUUAAUUAGGCUUACAAGAUUCAAGGCAGGAGAGUCCGCCAUGGUCACCUCUGUGCUGGAGACAGAGGAUCCAGGAGCAGCUCAGCCCAUGGAGAUGAAAGCCACAGAAUAAGAGAAAUCAAGGGGUGACUUUCAAUCCAAAAAAAAGAUCCAGGAAGCUCAUUGGAGAGUCCUCGAUAUACAUCUAUUUUGGAAGCCUGGAAAGACUGAAGACAUCUCCAGGCAAUGGAAACAAAGGACACACUCACUAAGUCUACAGGAGUUCUUCAAAAUGCACCAAUUUCCUUUUUGCAUUUUUAUUCCAUCUAGGCGACAGGUCUAUCGAUGGUGCCAUCCACAAAUGGGAUGGGCCUUCCUGCAUCUGUUUACAGGCCAACAAUAUCGGAAACACUGACACACCCAGAACUGUGUUACACUAAUCUGUUAGGUGUUUCUGAACCUAGUCAAGUGGGCACACCACAUUCAUGGUCACAGGAGCACAUCAUCUAGUGUCAAAGGGUCACAACUGGAUGAGCUGUGAUGAGUGCUUUGAUAGAGAUUAAUAAAAGCAGCAAGCAGGAACAAUGAUCAUGAAGUUCUUGGCAGGCAAUGUUGGGAAAUUUGAAUUUAAAGAGUAGUUCAAAAAGUUUGAGGAGUGUCUACUUUGUGUUUAGAAUCACUUUUGUGGACUGUAGCGUAUGUACUGUACUGGACAGGGAAAAACUGCAAGAGCAAGAAAACAAAAAGGAAGAGUGAAGGAGAAGUCUAGCAGAGGAAUAGUACACGACAGGACUAUGAAGUCAUUUUAUGAAUGAAGGCAUUUGGACACUAAAGAGAAAAAUAAAACAUGAAGAUACUCCACAUGAUCAAUGGCUGACUGGGAGCAUUUGAAUCAUGGAGUCUAGAGAGGAGUUCUAGAGAGGAGUCCAAUUGCGUGAGGAAGAGACCCUGAUGAAAUUUAAUGGGGUUCUCUGUCCCAACACUAUCUCUGAUCACUGAGAUCAAAGUGUAAAGGGAUUAAAGAAAAGGAACCCCAACUGGGUUAAAAUAUUCCAAAUCUAAUGAGAUUCAAAUGUAAUUAUUAACACUUUAUAUUUUCAGUCGCACAAAUAAUAAAUAGCUUAUAAGCACAAAAUACAUCCAAUAAAAAUUAAUCUUUGUAGCCCUCGCCUUCACCUCUGUAAAAGGUAGUGGUGUUUAUGAGAUGUGGGGGAACAAAUAAUUACAUUUUUCAAUCUAGUUUAAACAGUAACUUAGUUUGGGUUAGUUUUAUGUGAGAAAAUAUUUUUAUUAAUAUAACAUUUGUAUAUAUUUAUGAAGUGUAAUAUGAAAUUCUACAUUUGUAUACAAUGUGAUGAUCAAAUUAGGGUAAUCAACAUUUCGAUUCCUGAAGCCUUAAACCAUUUCCAUGUGUUGAGAAACUUUGGAUUCUUUUUUUGUAGUUAUUUGAAAUGUGGUGCACACUCUGCUAGACUCUAUGACUAUCUAAGUGCACUUUGAUAUCUGUACCUAAGCUCUCGUCAUCCUUAUUUUGUUUGCUCUCAGUCACCUAUUUUACUCCUUUCUUUUUAGACAAAUUUUCCUAGCUCCCAAAUUUUAAAGUAUUUAACAUUCAAAAUAUUAUGUUAUCUUUGAUGAAUUAACAGAAAUCAUUUUUUUCAUACCUGUGUCUUGUAAUCUGAACAACUACCUUGAAGAUCACAAUAUGCAAUAUAUUAAUUUUGUUAAUGUCCUAUUUUGUUUUGAAAUUCUGUACCAUUGUUUUUAUUCUGUUUUUAAUUUUAAAAUAAAAAAUAUUACGUUCA